rnacentral:rRNA from 1 species
GGAGUUAGCCGGUGCUUCUUCUGUGAGUGAUGUCCUUCCUGCCGGCUAUUAACCCGCAGGCCUUCUUCCUCACUGAAAGUGCUUUACAACCCGAAGGCCUUCUUCACACACGCGGCAUGGCUGGAUCAGGGUUGCCCCCAUUGUCCAAUAUUCCCCACUGCUGCCUCCCGUAGGAGUCUGGGCCGUGUCUCAGUCCCAGUGUGGCUGAUCAUCCUCUCAGACCAGCUACGGAUCGUCGCCUUGGUGAGCCGUUACCUCACCAACCAGCUAAUCCGACAUAGGCUCAUCCGAUAGCGCGAGGCCCGAAGGUCCCCCGCUUUCCCCCGUAGGGCGUAUGCGGUAUUAGCCUGGGUUUCCCCAGGUUAUCCCCCACUACCGGGCAGAUUCCUAUGCAUUACUCACCCGUCCGCCGCUCGCCACCAGGGAGCAAGCUCCCCGUGCUGCCGCUCGACUUGCAUGUGUUAGGCCUGCCGCCACGCGUCAAUACUGAGCCGAGAUACAAACUACUGA